GAUGAACGCUAGCUACAGGCUUAACACAUGCAAGUCGAGGGGAAACGACAUCGAAAGCUUGCUUUUGAUGGGCGUCGACCGGCGCACGGGUGAGUAACGCGUAUCCAACCUGCCCACCACUUGGGGAUAACCUUGCGAAAGUAAGACUAAUACCCAAUGAUAUCCCACGAAGGCAUCCGAAUGGGAUUAAAGAUUUAUCGGUGAUGGAUGGGGAUGCGUCUGAUUAGCUUGUUGGCGGGGUAACGGCCCACCAAGGCAACGAUCAGUAGGGGUUCUGAGAGGAAGGUCCCCCCACAUUGGAACUGAGACACGGUCCAAACUCCUACGGGAGGCAGCAGUGAGGAAUAUUGGUCAAUGGGCGAAAGCCUGAACCAGCCAAGUGGCGUGAGGGAAGACUGCCCUACGGGUUGUAAACCUCUUUUGUUUGGGAAUAAAGUGCGGGACGUGUCCCGCAUUGCAUGUACCAUUUGAAUAAGGACCGGCUAAUUCCGUG
rnacentral:rRNA from 1 species